rnacentral:tRNA from 1 species
UCCCAGGUGGCUCAGUGGUAAAGAAUCUGCCUGCCAAGCAGGAAACGUGGGUUCGAUCCCUGGGUUGGGAA